rnacentral:rRNA from 1 species
UACGAAGGGGGCUAGCGUUGCUCGGAAUCACUGGGCGUAAAGGGUGCGUAGGCGGGUUUUUAAGUCAGAGGUGAAAUCCUGGAGCUCAACUCCAGAACUGCCUUUGAUACUGAGAAUCUUGAGUUCGGGAGAGGUGAGUGGAACUGCGAGUGUAGAGGUGAAAUUCGUAGAUAUUCGCAAGAACACCAGUGGCGAAGGCGGCUCACUGGCCCGAUACUGACGCUGAGGAGCGAAAGCCAGGGGAGCAAACGGG